UACGUAGGGGGCAAGCGUUGUCCGGAUUUAUUGGGCGUAAAGAGCGUGUAGGCGGCUAUACAGGUCCGUUGUGAAAACUCGAGGCUCAACCUCGAGACGCCGAUGGAAACCGUAUGGCUAGAGUCCGGAAGAGGAGAGCGGAAUUCCUGGUGUAGCGGUGAAAUGCGCAGAUAUCAGGAGGAACACCGAUAGCGAAGGCAGGUCUCUGGGCAUUAACUGACGCUGAGGAGCGAAAGCAUGGGGAGCGAACAGG
rnacentral:rRNA from 1 species